ACGAACGCUGGCGGCGUGCCUCAAACAUGCAAGUCGAGCGGGGUUCUGGAAGUGGGCGACCACGGAAGGGACCUAGCGGCGGACGGGUGAGUAACGCGUGGGUAAUCUGCCCAAGGGACCGGGAUAACACCUCGAAAGGGGUGCUAAUACCGGGUGACCCUGGUGCUCCGAGUGGGGGACCAGGGAUAGGUGGCCUCUUGACAAUGCUACUGCCCCUUGGAUGAGCCCGCGUCCCAUUAGCUAGUUGGCGGGGUAAAGGCCCACCAAGGCGACGAUGGGUAGCC
rnacentral:rRNA from 1 species